AUUGAACGCUGGCGGCAUGCUUUACACAUGCAAGUCGAACGGUAACAGCACUUCGGUGGCUGACGAGUGGCGAACGGGUGAGUAAUACAUCGGAACGUGCCUCGUAGUGGGGGAUAACUACUCGAAAGAGUACCUAAUACCGCAUGAGAUCUAAGGAUGAAAGCAGGGGACCUUCGGGCCUUGCGCUACUAGAGCGGCUGAUGGCAGAGUAGGUAGCUGGUGGGAUAAAAGCUUACCAAGCCGACGAUCUGUAGCUGGUCUGAGAGGACGACAAGCCACACUGGGACUGAGACACGGACCAGACUCCUACGGGAGGCAGCAGUGGGGAAUUUUGGACAAUGGGCGCAAGCCUGAUCGAGCAAUGCCGCGUGCAGGAUGAAGGCCUUCGGGUUGUAAACUGCUUUUGUACGGAACGAAAAGACCUCUUCUAAUACAUGAGGGUCAUGACGGUACCGUAUGAAUAAGCACCGGCUAACUACGUG
rnacentral:rRNA from 1 species